rnacentral:rRNA from 1 species
UACGUAGGGUGCAAGCGUUAAUCGGAAUUACUGGGCGUAAAGCGUGCGCAGGCGGUGAUGUAAGACAGAUGUGAAAUCCCCGGGCUUAACUCGGAAAGGUCAACUGAUACUGUGCGACUAGAGUGCGGAAGGGGCAACUGGAAUUCUCGGUGUAGCGGUGAAAUGCGUAGAUAUCGAGAGGAACACCUGCGGCGAAGGCGGGUUGCUGGGCCGACACUGACGCUGAUGCGCGAAAGCCAGGGGAGCGAACGGG